GGGAAUCUACCUAGUUCUACGGAACAACUGAGGGAAACUUCAGCUAAUACCGUAUACGCCCUAUGGGGGAAAGAUUUAUCGGAAUUAGAUGAGCCCGCGUAAGAUUAGCUAGUUGGUGAGGUAAUGGCUCACCAAGGCGACGAUCUUUAGCUGGUCUGAGAGGAUGAUCAGCCACACUGGGACUGAGACACGGCCCAGACUCCUACGGGAGGCAGCAGUGGGGAAUAUUGGACAAUGGGCGCAAGCCUGAUCCAGCCAUGCCGCGUGAGUGAUGAAGGCCUUAGGGUUGUAAAGCUCUUUCAGUAGGGAAGAUAAUGACGGUACCUACAGAAGAAGCCCCGGCUAACUUCGUGCCAGCAGCCGCGGUAAUACGAAGGGGGCUAGCGUUGUUCGGAUUUACUGGGCGUAAAGCGCACGUAGGCGGAUUGUUAAGUCAGAGGUGAAAUCCUGGAGCUCAACUCCAGAACUGCCUUUGAUACUGGCAAUCUCGAGUCCGGAAGAGGUGAGUGGAACUCCUAGU
rnacentral:rRNA from 1 species